rnacentral:misc_RNA from 1 species
GAUUACCAGAGACUUUACGAUUUCUUUUACACCAACUCCGCUGAUUUGUUCAUCGAAGCUGAAAAACUUGGCAUUUCUAAAGAUGAAGCUUGUCAUAAUCUUCUCUUCGCUACUUGCUUCAAUUCCUUCGGUGGGAUGAAGAUUUUCUUCCCGAAUAUGCUGAAAUCGAUAGCGAAAGCAGGGGUGGAGAUCCAUACCCGUUUAGCAAACGAGAUCCGAUCGGAAGUAAAAUCCGCCGGCGGGAAGAUCACGAUGUCGGCGAUGGAGAAAAUGCCGUUAAUGAAAUCAGUAGUAUAUGAAGCUUUACGAAUUGAUCCUCCGGUAGCUUCACAAUACGGAAGAGCCAAACAAGACCUUAAAAUCGAAUCACACGACGCCGUUUUCGAGGUGAAAAAGGGUGAAAUGCUAUUCGGGUACCAACCAUUUGCAACGAAGGAUCCGAAAAUUUUUGACCGGCCGGGAGAGUUCGUCGCCGAUCGGUUCGUCGGAGAAGAAGGAGAAAAAUUAUUGAAACAUGUAUUAUGGUCUAACGGACCGGAAACGGAAACUCCG